ensembl:lncRNA
CACGCCUAGCUCUGCCCACUGGGGCGUGGCUCAUAGCGCUCUCUGGAAUAAGCGCUUGUUUCAAAUAUGUUUAAGUUAACCUCAUUAUUCUUUGCUCGUAUCGUCGUAUUCCACCCGAUCGAGUUCUCAUCACAUCACACCAGAAACAUGGUAUGCUGUCAUUUGACUUUACAACGUUUAUUUUAGAUUCAUUACAGGGCUCCGGAGUGGCGCCUCGGUGCAAGAGGCGUCCCUACAGUCCCUGGUUCGAAUACAGGCUGUAUGACAUCCGGCCGUGAUUGGGAGUCCCAUAGGGCGGCGCACAAUUGGCCCAGCGUCGUCCGGGGUUUUACGGUCAUUGUAAAUAAGAAUUUGGUUAAAUACAAUUACUCAAAAUGACGGCGCCGAAGCAGACACGACUUUUCACAGGGAAAUAGGCUAAUGUUGGUUGAUGAUUCGGACACGCACUUUGAAAAGCGAUGAUGUCGAGAUUGUUCGGGACUUCUCUAUUUGAACCCCGGACUGCUCGGUGAACCUCACUGAACUGGAUCGGGGUCUUCAAGGACCAAAAACUUUGCUUUGCCAGCUGACGAGCAGGCCCAAGAUCUUCUCUUCAAAGUGCAGAUGCACAAGGUGACAUCGUUUUAAGACUUCUGCCAGUGGUCCUCCCACACCAGUCUACAAGAUUGGCAGGAAGACAUUCCGACCCAGCUUCUAAGAGACCAGAAAGUCCUUCAUUGACUUGCAGCCUGUAAAUUUAAAUAGUCGAUAGGGAGAUGGAUGGGGAAAUUAGAUUAUAGCGUUUGUAAGCCUUGAAUGAACAGAACACCAUUCCAAUAUCUGUUAUGCAGAACGGCACACUCCAAGACAUUGUUGUGUAAAUUAACCUAUAGAUACUGUAGGCAGGCCCCUGAGUAUGGUACAGCCCAUUGCGCAUAUGUUAAAUUGCCUACUUAUAACAUGACAACGGCUGUAUUCAUUUUUACAUUUUUAUUAAUUCUAUAAACAUUUUGUAUGUGCUUGGUUGGUCACUUUUAACAUACUUCCAUGGUGUCUUAAUUAAAUACACUUUCAUCUAAAUGUAAAAUGUUAGCAUGAACAGAUACACUGUCGCAUGGAAGGUACGUCAUGAUUAUCAGCCGAAAAGACGAUUCCAACACUUUCUUAAAUAGCUCUGCUUUUAAGAUGCUGAUAAGCUGUUACGUACCAUUUUGUUUGAACAAUAUUAGGAGAAAAAGACAACCAAAUGAAGUUUCAUCAACUGCACAUGAACCAGGUUAGAAGUACCUCAUGGUUUCUGGCAAUUACGCUGUGAUGAUUAUGAUUGAAAGCUGUGAGCUCCUGUUACUCAAUACAUGUAUGUGUGUUCAAAGCACUUCAUCACUGGUAAGUCGGUAACACUUGUUUGUAUCUCACUAGCUAUGUGUAUUGCACAAAGCUUGCUAGUUAGCUUGUAGUAAGGACUAGUGAGCUGUAUCCAAAUAACAGCUAUAAUAUUCUUCUGCAUUUGGAUAUUUAUGCAAACCUGUAGAUUCCACCAUUUCAAAUUUCGCUACAUAAGACCGGAUUAAGCCGGUAGGUCACAUAUAGGCAAAAAUCCUCUUUUCUAAUUACCUAGACCGUUCAAAGGCAGGCAAAGACUAAGUAUUUACGCGACAUAUCUAAGACUAGCGAAUUAGAUUGAGAUGAACUUCUCUCACUAGAGUUGGCAGGUCGGGGAACACAUUAGCGUGGCAGAAUAAGUAUAAUGUAAAUCACGUUGUUGUGACAGACAAGUAUGUACCUCUUAUGGCUGCAUUCCUUGUUCUCAAUUUCCACCUGAAGACAUACCCUAAUCUAACUUCCUGUAGCUCAGCCCCAGAGGCAAGGAUAUGCAUAUUCUUGGUAUCAUUUGAAUGGAAACAUUCUGAAGUUUGUGGAAAUGUUAAUUGAAUGUAGGAGAAUAUAACACAGUAGAUCUGGUGGAAGAAAAGAGAAAGAAAGAGCAUACGUUUUCUGUUUUUUAUUGUAGUAUCAUCUUUCACAUGUACUAGAAUAGCUGGAGAUAAUUUGUAGGUGUGCAAAGUUUCAGACUGAUAACUUCAGGAAUGGGUGAGCUACAUGACAUUUAGCAUGAAGUCACCCAGGUGUCCCACACAAGUUGCCCAAAUGUACCCAAGUGGCCGAAUUGGUGAAAUUACCUAUAACUAUAUACAACAGUGCAAAUAACUAUAUACAACAUAUCAAAAAGCAAUUCUAACAUACACAAAAAAAAUGUUAAAACAUUUAUUUUCUAACAUUUAAAAAAAAAAAAAACAGUACACCCUUUGGAAGUCCUCUACACAAUAUUUUGCUGCCUGUGCCAUGUCCCAUAGCAGUCUCUUUCUGAUGUAAAGCAGAGGCAAACUGAACAAGUGGUGCAGGUCAUGUGACACAGAACACAACGACACCUCCAUGCUGUGCCCUUUUGGCCCUGAGACACAGUUAUGCCUGCAGUAAUGAACUGUGGCAUAUGAACACCACUGGAGGCAGGAGUAGAGGGGGCAGAGAUAGAGCGGGCAGUUUGGCACCGGGGGCUCCCAGUCGGAGUCGCUAUCACUGUGAAAGAAAACAAGAACAAUAUUUGUAUUGUAU